GACGAACGCUGGCGGCGUGCUUAACACAUGCAAGUCGAACGGAAAGGCCCUGCUUUUGUGGGGUGCUCGAGUGGCGAACGGGUGAGUAACACGUGAGUAACCUGCCCUUGACUUUGGGAUAACUUCAGGAAACUGGGGCUAAUACCGGAUAGGAGCUCCUGCUGCAUGGUGGGGGUUGGAAAGUUUCGGCGGUUGGGGAUGGACUCGCGGCUUAUCAGCUUGUUGGUGGGGUAGUGGCUUACCAAGGCUUUGACGGGUAGCCGGCCUGAGAGGGUGACCGGCCACAUUGGGACUGAGAUACGGCCCAGACUCCUACGGGAGGCAGCAGUGGGGAAUAUGGCACAAUGGGCGGAAGCCUGAUGCAGCAACGCCGCGUGCGGGAUGACGGCCUUCGGGUUGUAAACCGCUUUCGCCUGUGACGAAGCGUGAGUGACGGUAAUGGAUAAAGAAGCACCGGCUAACUACGUG
rnacentral:rRNA from 1 species